rnacentral:tRNA from 1 species
UAGGGAUAUAGCUCAGUUGGUAGAGUAUUUGCCUCAACUGCACAAGGCCCUGGAUUCAAUCCCCAGCCUAA